AAAUUGAAGAGUUUGAUCAUGGCUCAGAUUGAACGCUGGCGGCAGGCCUAACACAUGCAAGUCGAACGGUAACAGGAAGCAGCUUGCUGCUUUGCUGACGAGUGGCGGACGGGUGAGUAAUGUCUGGGAAACUGCCUGAUGGAGGGGAUAAAUACUGAGAACGGUUGCUAAUACCGGAUAACGUCGCAAGUCCAACGAGGGGACCUUCGGGCCUCUUGCCAUCAGAUGUGCCCAGAUGGGAUUAGCUUGUUGGUGAGGUAACGGCUCACCAAGGCGACGAUCCCUAGCUGGUCUGAGAGGGAUGACCAGCCACACUGGAACUGAGACACGGUCCAGACUCCUACGGGGAGGCAGCAGUGGGGAAUAUUGCACAAUGGGCGCAAGCCUGAUGCAGCCAUGCCGCGUGUAUGAAGAAGGCCUUCGGGUUGUAAAAGUACUUUCAGCGGGGAGGAAGGUGUUGCGGUUAAUAACCGCAGCAAUUGACGUUACCCGCAGAAGAAGCACCGGCUAACCCGUGCCAGCAGCCGCGGUAAUACGGAGGGUGCAAGCGUUAAUCGGAAUUACUGGGCGUAAAGCGCACGCAGGCGGUCUGUCAAGUCGGAUGUGAAAUUCCCCGGCUCAACCCUGGAAACGCAUUCGAAACUGGCAGGCUUGAGUCUUGUAGAGGGGGGUAGAAUUCCAGGUGUAGCGGUGAAAUGCGUAGAGAUCUGGAGGAAUACCGGUGGCGAAGGCGGCCCCCUGGACAAAGACUGACGCUCAGGUGCGAAAGCGUGGGGAGCAAACAGGAUUAGAUACCCUGGUAGUCCACGCCGUAAACGAUGUCUACUUGGAGGUUGUGCCCUUGAGGCGUGGCUUCCGGAGCUAACGCGUUAAGUAGACCGCCUGGGGAGUACGGCCGCAAGGUUAAAACUCAAAUGAAUUGACGGGGGCCCGCACAAGCGGUGGAGCAUGUGGUUUAAUUCGAUGCAACGCGAAGAACCUUACCUGGUCUUGACAUCCACAGAAGAAUCCAGAGAUGGAUUUGUGCCUUCGGGAACUGUGAGACAGGUGCUGCAUGGCUGUCGUCAGCUCGUGUUGUGAAAUGUUGGGUUAAGUCCCGCAACGAGCGCAACCCUUAUCCUUUGUUGCCAGCGAUUAGGUCGGGAACUCAAAGGAGACUGCCAGUGAUAAACUGGAGGAAGGUGGGGAUGACGUCAAGUCAUCAUGGCCCUUACGACCAGGGCUACACGUGCUACAAUGGCGCAUACAAAGAGAAGCGACCUCGCGAGAGCAAGCGGACCUCAUAAAGUGCGUCGUAGUCCGGAUUGGAGUCUGCAACUCGACUCCAUGAAGUCGGAAUCGCUAGUAAUCGUGGAUCAGAAUGCCACGGUGAAUACGUUCCCGGGCCUUGUACACACCGCCCGUCACACCAUGGGAGUGGGUUGCAAAAGAAGUAGGUAGCUUAACCUUCGGGAGGGCGCUUACCACUUUGUGAUUCAUGACUGGGGUGAAGUCGUAACAAGGUAACCGUAGGGGAACCUGCGGUUGGAUCACCUCCUUACCUUAAAGAAGC
rnacentral:rRNA from 1 species